AGUUUAGGGAUCAAGUUACUGGUUACAUGGAAUACAGUUUACAAAGCUUCCUCAGUCAGCCUGAGAACGACACAUCUCCAACACUUACUCCAACUACUACGCUGGUACAGACUUCUCCAGGAUCUCCAACCACAAUCGAUGGAUCAGCUGUGGUCAACGUCAGGAUGGUGUUCCACAACACCAUUUCUGUUCCUAGUGAGG